GCAGUCGUGGCCGAGUGGUUAAGGUGAUGGACUAGAAAUCCAUUGGGGUCUCCCCGCACAGGUUCGAAUACAGUCGACUGCG
rnacentral:tRNA from 1 species